GGCAUUGCAGUUCGGGCACAUCUGUCACCAACUGCUUUCCUCAUCGUGUAACCGAUUCGCAAUUAUGGUCAACUAUGGCGUCGUACUCCUGUUGGGUGUUGUAUCGUUGAUGGCUGGGUCGACUGCUGGUGUAGCGAUGUCUCCUUGGUAUGGCGGAAAUCAAACCGCAACGCUGCCGCCUUCCUACUCAACUUACGCAACGACCAGUUCCUGCACCGAUGUCUUCAAGUACUACACCACCAAAGCACCGGAGUUUUAUACCAAAAGUUACGCUGCCCCGAGCCACUACACUGAUGCCCUGAAGUAUUACUCUGCCCUGAGUUACUACACCAUCUAGGCGACGGAUGACACCACAUGACUACGUAUACUGCCUAUCCUACUACAUCGAGCCUUCUAACUGCUACACCGAGGCUCCCGCUGAUUUCUCCACCAAGACGGUCGAAUAUUACACCGAAGCGGCAAAGUACUAAUCUGCCCCGAUCUACACAACCACAACUGAGGCGGAGAAGUAUUGCGCAGUCCAUACUUGCUACACCAAAGCUGCGGUUUCGUGCUACGUUGAACAGAAUUACUACACCGAUGCCCCAGUCUACUACACCACGACUUACGCUUCACCUAGCUACAACACCGCAGCCUCAAAGUACUACACCGAAGGAGCCGCCUAUUACACAACUACGUACGCUGCCCUACGUCGACGAAAUUAAGUAUUGCCCUGCUCGAAACUACUACCAAACUUCAUAUUUAUUGCAAUUUCCACGACUAUGUCACCACUGCUCCGACCUAUACACCGAAGUUCUGAAGUAUUUCUCUGUAUGUGUUGAAAGAUUGCUGAAAUACAAGAUUGAUUGAUAAA